rnacentral:rRNA from 1 species
UACAGAGACUGCAAGCGUUAUUCGGAUUCACUGGGCGUAAAGGGUGCGCAGGCGGCCAAGUGUGUGAGGCGUGAAAGCCUGGAGCUUAACUCCAGAAUUGCACCUCAAACUACAUGGCUAGAGCAUUGGAGAGGGUAGCGGAAUUCACGGUGUAGCAGUGAAAUGCGUAGAUAUCGAGAGGAACACCUGCGGCGAAGGCGGGUUGCUGGGCUGACACUGACGCUGAUGCGCGAAAGCCAGGGGAGCGAACGGG